GGAGGGGUGGAUGAGUGGUUUAAAUCAACAGUUUACUAAACUGUCGACCCAUUAAAAGGUCCGCGAGUUCGAAUCUCGCCCCCUCCG
rfam:Parcubacteria bacterium GW2011_GWA2_47_7 TY04_C0033, whole genome shotgun sequence.